rnacentral:rRNA from 1 species
AUACGGAGGGGGCUAGCGUUGUUCGGAAUUACUGGGCGUAAAGCGCGCGUAGGCGGUCCGCGUAGUCAGGCGUGAAAGCCCCGGGCUCAACCUGGGAACUGCGUUUGAUACUGGCGGGCUAGAGUCCGGGAGAGGGUAGUGGAAUUCCCAGUGUAGAGGUGAAAUUCGUAGAUAUUCGGAAGAACACCAGUGGCGAAGGCGGCUACCUGGACCGGUACUGACGCUGAGGUGCGAAAGCGUGGGGAGCAAACAGGAUUAGAAACCCCAGUAGUCC